ACUUUUGGUGGAGGAACCAGACUGGAUGUUGGAAGUGAUGUCCGUCCCACCCUAACGGUGCUGCCCCCCUCGAGUGAGGAGCUGGACCCGGAGCUGAAGCAGGGCAAGGCCACGCUUAUAUGUCUGGCCAACAAGGGCUUCCCCUCAGACUGGAGUCUGGCCUGGAAGGUGGACGGCAGCAGCAGCAGCAGCUUGGAGCAGAGCAGGAGCCCCGCGGUGCUGCAAAAGGACGGCCUCUACAGCUGGAGCAGCACCCUGAGGCUCACUGCAGACCAGUGGAGGAAGGUGGGCUCUGUGACCUGUGAGGCCACCGAGGGCUGUAAGGCUCUGUCAGAGACACUGAGGAGAGACCAGUGUUCCAAGUCCUGAUCAGACUCACCGAUACUCUGCUACUGAUUUUACUCUGCUACUGCUCUCACUCUGAUCUCUGCUACUCUUUUGUUUUUUUUCCCUCUCUCUCUCUUUAAAUGUUG